GCACUCUUGUUUCUCUUCAGAUCGUACAAAUCUUUCGCCUUUUACUAAAGAUUUCCGUGGAGAGGAAACAACAAGAGUUAGAUUCAAUUUUUUGAUGCCGCAGCAGUAGGGUU
rnacentral:snRNA from 1 species